CAAAGCCUCUCCAUGGCCU
rnacentral:misc_RNA from 1 species